CUUUGCCACAGUUGUCAUUCACUGGCCUGAAUGGUCGGAUAAUCAAAAGUGGGAGUAUAUAUAGAGUAAACAAGAUCCAGCUCACUCACUCAUUCACUAAACAGCUAUUUCAAAGCUCACAGAACGUAAUAGUUUUAUUUUAAAACACCACACCUAGGCAAAAAAUAAUGGGGGUUUAGAUACAGUAUAUGAUCACACAUUGCAUAAGCCUGCCGCAACAUAAAGAGAUUAACCCACUAACUAGGGAAAUUCUUCCUCUUGGGACUCUCUGCAGGGCAAAAAAACGAUUACAUUCCGUGAGCUUUGAAGUUGCUGUUUAGUGAAUAAGUGAGUGAGUUGAAUCGUGUAUGUUGUUUGAAUUGGCCCCAGCAGCACCCCUUAUAAUGUAUGCAUGUUCAGGUGAGUGCAGCCCUCUUGUU